rnacentral:rRNA from 1 species
AGAACGAACGCUGGCGGCAUGCCUAAUACAUGCAAGUCGAACGAACUCUUCGGAGUUAGUGGCGCACGGGUGCGUAACGCGUGGGAAUCUGCCCCUUGGUUCGGAAUAACAGUUGGAAACGACUGCUAAUACCGGAUGAUGACGAAAGUCCAAAGAUUUAUCGCCAAGGGAUGAGCCCGCGUAGGAUUAGCUAGUUGGUGAGGUAAAGGCUCACCAAGGCAACGAUCCUUAGCUGGUCUGAGAGGAUGAUCGAGCCACACGUGGGACU